rnacentral:lncRNA from 1 species
GCAAAGGCUGGGGCAAGACUGCUGUGGAGCACUGGGUGCACCUAAGAGGGAAGAAGGAGCUGGAUUUGGCACUGAGCACCAGAGCAUAGUGAGGUGGUCAUGGGAGCAGCCGAGUUGGUUCAAAACUGCACCUUGCCUGACUUUUUUCCCCUGAUUCUGGCCUAAGUACUGCUCUACAGCCAUGUGACCUGGUUUACGUGCUCUCACAUCAUCUUCACAUUUCACUCCAAGUUCAUCUCCGCAUUCACAUCCCAUUCCAAGAGCCAUCAGGAGACGAGGAAGCGCCGAGUCCACCAAGCAAUUUCACCAGCUCUUCAUAUAUUCUUCUUGGAGGUUUCAUGCCAUAAUCUUACCUCUUUCUUGUGUAUUUAGGUCAUACAAGUUACUGAUGAGGUGACAAGAUGGAAGAUCACUUCUCACAAAGAUGAUACCUUCUCACAAGGACUAAAAGGUUUCCAGAUAGAUUUGAGCUCUUUCCAUAUUGUGCACCAAUGAUGUCACAUGGCCCUCUCAUCCCAACCCCUAGAGGACCCUCAGUGAAUCAAAGGCAUAUCAAGAUUACAGAGCACUAUAUGUAAAUGAAGGGAUAGGUGAAGACUAAAUACCCUCAGAUUUAAAAAGCCUGUAGAAUGAUUUAUAAUCCUUUGGGUAUAAAGACACAUGCACAUGUAUGUUUAUUGCAGAACUAUUGUCAAUAGCAAAACUUGGAACCAACCCAAAUGCCCAUCAAUGAUAGACCGGAUAAAGAAAAUGUGGCACAUAUACACCAUGGAAUACCAUGCAGCCAUAAAAAAGAAUGAGUUCAUGUCCUUUAUAGGGACAUGGAUGAAGCUGGAAACCAUCAUCCUCAGCAAACUAACACAGGAACAGAAAACCAAAUACUGCAUGAUCUCACUCGUAAGUGGGAGUUGGACAAUGAGAACACAUGGACACAGGGAGGGGAACAUCACACACUGGGGCCUGUCGGGAGUGGAGGGAAAGAGGAGGGAGAGCAUCAGGACAAAUACCUAAUGUACACAAGGCUUAAAACCCAGAUGACGGGUUGAUAGGUGCAGCAAACCAUCAUGGUACAUGUAUAUCUGUGUAACAAACCUGCAUGUUCUGCACAUGUAUCCCAGAACUUAAAGUAAAAGAAAAAAGAAAAGGAAAAAAAAAUACUGUAGUAAGUUGUUGUUUGGUGGUCCUUCCUUCAUAAAUAAGAGUGAGCUGCAGCUGGGCUCUGUGGCUUACACCUGUAAUCCCAGCACUUUGGGAGGCCGAGGCAGGUGGAUCACUUGGUCAGGAAAUCAAGACCAUCCUGGCUAACAUGGUGAAACCCCAUCUUUACUAAAAAUACAAAAAAAAAAAGACAAAAAAUAGCCAGGCAUGGUGGCGGGCGCCUGUAGUCCCAGCUACUUGGGAGGCUGAGGCAGGAGAACGGCGUGAACCUGGGAGGCAGAGCUUGCAGUGAGUCAAGAUCAAGCCACUGCACUCCAGCCUUGGUGACAGAGCAAGACUCUGUCUCAAAAAAAAAAAAGAGUGAGCUGCAACAGGACCUAGUCCUAUGGGUCUAAAGUAAAGAAAAUACUAGGGAAACAUGUUGUCUUUGUCUCCCUGUCCAAUGUUCCUUGUGUGAGAAGCUCAGUUUAACUCCUCUGAC